CCCGCGGCGGCGCCGCCCUCACGGCGCGUUCUUUGGCCAGUCACAGUCCCCGGGAGCCAAUCGCAGCCAGCGUUGGGGCGGGGGGCGGGGGGGAGAGCGUGGGUGCGCGUGCCCAGAACCGACCUGUACAACCGCCAACCGCCGUUGCUCCUGGGCCUCUUCCGGGAUAACGGGGUGGGCGGAGGCCGAGCCCUGUCACCGCUGCCUGGCCCUGGCCUGAUAACAGUGUCAGUCGGGGGCUGAGGGGCGAGUACAAAGAUCAAUUGUCCGUGGCCACUGGUGGCAGGACGAGAAGUAACGGGCUUAAUCUGCGGCCAGGGAGGUUUGGGUUAGACCUAAGCUGAAACUUGUCUUAACUUUCAGGGAAGUUGAACUGUGCAACAGGCGUCCGAGGGAGGCCCUGGCGUCCCUGCCAUUGGAGGUUUUUAAGACCGGGUUGGACAAGCACCUGUCGGGGGUGGCCUAGGGUAACUCAGUCCUGCCUCAGCGUUAAGGGGCUGGUCUUGAGGAUGUCUCAAGGGCCCCUAAAGCCCUGCAUCUCUGUGAUCCAAAAGGGAUGUGGAGAGGCUGCGUAGGACUCGUGUGAACUCUGUGUCACAGAACCGGGUUGGUGCAUGAGAUCAGCGUGCCCAGUAGAGAUUUAUGUCUGUGACAUUUGUUUUCCACUAUGGCCAUCUUCAGUUAAUAUUCUUCUGAGAUUAGAGUGUAUACACAAUAGGCUUAAUCCUCAGACCAAGCCUGUGAUUGACUACCUACCUGGAGCCAUUAUGAUGUGUUUAUCAUGAGUCCAAGCUACUUCAGCAACUGUAUAAGUCUGUUUCCUUCAGCUCUCUCUCUGUACAGCAUCCUGACCAGCAAAAUUAUCCAGGAAGAAAUAGGAGUCGAGUUCCUUCUUCCUUAAAGCCAGUAUUAAUACAUGAUCUGGGCUCAUGCUGACAUAUUUCAUACAUGGGAGGGAGAUGAGGUGACACCUGUUUGGAUAUAGCUGCCUGUAAAAGGCCUGUUUAACGAAGAGGCCACUCCUUUCAGGUUAUGAAAGGCUAAGGCUUGCCAAACAUUGAGGGAAUGGAGCUUCCAUUCUUCUGAGGAUGUGUGACGUUUUGGGAAGAAUACAGAUAAAGAAGCUAAAGCUUCGGAUACUGGAGGUUCCAAUCUGGACCAAGCGGCAGUGACAAGGAACUGGAGAGGCAGUUGGUCAGCCCCACCCUUUAUUUCCUAAGUGGGAGGCACAAGGUGACCCAGGAUGCAUGUGUGGACCAACAGACGCUGCUUUCACAAUUCUCUGGCUCUGGAUGCAUGGAGUGAAUGCAUACCCACAGUGGAAUACAGACAGGGAACAGCACUUGAAGAAGCCGCCUGAGUUACACACAAUGCCUAUACGGUGCUCCAGGCAGAGAGGCAUUGUGAGAUCAGAGGUAACUCAGCCAGUCAUUAUUCGCUCUGUCCAUUGCAUUUUCAUACUUCAAUCCAGGGCUUAAAUUCAGCCGGAGCCAUCCAGAGUGGAGCUCCAGUAAAUAUUUUAAAACCUGCAGAAGCCCCGGUGUGCCCUGUGGGGCAGAGCCGCGCACCCCACAGGGCAAAGCCCCAUGCCCCAGUGCCUCUCACGGGGCUGAAGUUCAAGGCUCCAGGAAAUACUGGGGGGGAAUUUAAGCCCUGCUUCAAUCCCAUUGGUGAAAUGAAUCAGCAAAUGGAACUGCUGGUUAGGACUGAGGUGCUUUGCUAGACUGCUGGGGUCGUGAAGGUUUAGGACCGGAAGAGUUGAGGUUCCUUCACAUCAGGAGCUAUAUUGGCUGAGUAGGAGUGAGUUUCGAGAGUUGCAUUGUGGCUCCGUCCACACUGUGUCUAGCUCAGGCAAGAUCAUUUACCUUUGCCCAGUCACAGGUGUUUUAGUUCAUCUAAAUGGUAUCCAUUUGAUAUUGCAGGCAGAGAGAUUUGUUAAGGAGAGAAAUGACCAAGAAGGCAGCAGAAUUAGAGCAGGGGGACAGCACACCAGGCACUUGUGGGGAGAAUGGAGGAAUGCAUUGAGCCCCUCAUCUGUUCAAUGUGCUUGGCCUACAGAAACAAUGAACUCCAUCGUCCAUGUAGUUAGUCAUGUUUGUGGUUUUGUUUGAGUUAUACACACUAAACUCUUUCCCAUAUCUUCCCUCCACCAUUCAACCCGCUCUGCCUACUAGCAAUCCCUAGCUUUAGAUCUAGUGUCCGUAAACCCCUCUCUGCCAGCAUUCAACCUCCUCCCGUCAUACAAAUAUGCAGUUCACACAUAAGAUAAAUAAGUGAAAUAAGUAGCUUCCUGUGGAGUUCACGGAAACAAUGGGGCUUCAGGAGAGAUUUAAAUGAGGGGAGGGGAGUGACUUUUCAGACCAGCCCAGGAACGGCAUUCCAUGCACAGGACAGUGUUGAAGAAAGCUGAGAAACGAUUAUGGGAGGAGCAGGCAAUAAAGGUGUGACGUAUUCCAUAUUUUUAUGAAAAUAUUAUGAUAUGAAUAUGACAUAACAGAUAUACUUUAUGCAAGAUGGCUCGUGAGAUAUAAUUGGAAAGGUUAUGAUUUACUGAAUGUGAUUAUCCUGUUUAUAUGCAUGUAUCAUUUCUGUAUCUGAAAUUAGGAAUAUUGACUAUGUAUUUGUAUUUCAACUAUGCUACUUUGGGUGACGCCCACUGCCAACACUCCAGGUACAACAAUGGACAAGCCAGACAGGGCAGAUGGCCCAUCAACAAGGACAAUGGACUGUAAAAAAGCUUAGUCUUCCUAUGAACCUGUGAGUCAGUCUGUGAAGAAUGGCUAUAAGGGCCCCACAGAAUCAGGUGGUCUUGUCACCUGAUACUAAAACAUUACCUCGGACUUCUUGUAACUUUCCACUGUAAAGGAAGUGGGGAGUCAAACUAGGAAACAAAGGACUCCCGCCUUAUGCAAAUCCUAUUUAAGGGUGGGGAGUGAGGUAAUCUGGGUCCUCAGUUCUCCCCUGCUAUCCCACCCAAGAUGACUGCUGGGAACAACUAAGACUGAACUGGGGGAAAGAACUGAACCCAGGCUGGAAGGGCAUCUGGCCUGUGAAGGAGAUUAUUAGAACCACAUUUAGGGUGGACCUUACAUGUAACCAGUUUCUUUAGUGUAUUAAACUUAGUUUGUGUGCUCUGUUUUAUUUUCUUAGUAAUCUGCCUUGUUCUGUCUGCUACCUCCUUAACUACUUAAAAUA